rnacentral:rRNA from 1 species
UACGUAGGGUGCGAGCGUUGUCCGGAUUUAUUGGGCGUAAAGAGCGUGUAGGCGGCCUGAAAGGUCAGCUGUGAAAACUCGAGGCUCAACCUCGAGACGUCGGUUGAAACCAUCUGGCUAGAGUCCGGAAGAGGAGUGUGGAAUUCCCGGUGUAGCGGUGAAAUGCGCAGAUAUCGGGAAGAACACCAGUGGCGAAGGCGGCUAUCUGGACGGUUUCUGACGCUAAGACGCGAAAGCGUGGGGAGCAAACAGG